UCAAGCUUUAGAGUCCUCUUCAUUGUGAAAGGAUCUUGAAUCCAGAAGGCUACUAGAUUUUACAAUUUUCACUGUUUGUGAAAAUAGUCUAAAUGAUAUUGGAGACUAACGCAGGAUUUUUCCCAUUGUUUCAGGGUGAAACUAGUCAAUGGGUGACUGUAACAUUUAGCUCUCCAAAUGCAUCGAAUAAUGAUUGGAUUGGAGUCUUUUCUCCAGCAAGUGAUGUAAAAAAGUUCCUGGUACUGAAAUUUCCAGUGGUUCCACUUGUCCUCCAUAUGGGAAUCUUGCACCUCUACUGUGUUCUGCUCCCAUUAAGGUUUUUGCCCCUAGCCUUGGUUUAGUCUUGUUCUUACAGUAUGGUUCCAAUGCAAAACUACCUAUUUGUUGAAAUGUCGCUACAAUCAUCUAAUGGAAGAACUUAUGAUUGUUGAGUAAAUGUAAACUUCAAUUUUUGUUCUUGUGCAGUACCAAUUUGCAAAUUACUCCACUGCAGACUACA